rnacentral:misc_RNA from 1 species
UCUCCGAUGGUGAACCAGCGGAGGGAUCAUUACAGGACUCGCAAGACUCCUUCACCCUGUGAACCUCACUACAAGCACGUUGCUUCGGCGGGUGUCCCGGCGGGGGUUUUCCCUCGCCGGGGCGCACAGCCCGCCGGCAGCCUACUAUACUCUGUCUCUUUGCGUUGGCAUCUCGAGAAAAAACAAACAAGUUAAAACUUUCAACAACGGAUCUCUUGGUUCUG